GAAAGAAAAAUAUUAUGGUUUUGUUUUUUCGUAGCAAAACUGUAAACAAAGGAUGAAAGAAAUGUCAACGAAAACUCUAACAGCCGGUGCGAACAGCUUACAGCACACAAUCCCAAAACUCGUUUUCAAAGUAUUUUCGUUGUCGGUCCGAACAUGGUAUAACACUAUCUUGUGUAAAUUCGCCUUGCUAGUGAUAAAUAUCUGUAAAGAAACAAAGCUACUGUGUGGUGUAUUCAAUAUAUGUACAUUUUUUGGUGAAUUCUUUGGACAAUUGUCAAUUGCCCACAGAAAUUAUCAGGAAUUGCGGAAAGAGAUCUCUAGCUUAUAGGCAGAGUCAGCAGCAUACGUGGCGAUUUUCGGAAAAUAGUUUUCGUAGCGUUUUUGAUGUUCUUUGGUUUUGUUGACAUCGUCUUCUACCUCUUCAUAGUGAUCUUUUAGCGACUUGAUGUGUUUUCUGCAGCGAUUUAAACUAUAAAUUUUGAUUUCUUUCAAAUUUAUGAUAUAAAUGAAGUGCUUUGUGAUUUGAA